GUUGGGCCAAUAACUGAAAGGUUCCUGGAUCAAAUCCCCAAGGGUUGGAGGUUAGACUGAGCGUUAGUGAGAGCCAGGGGGAGGAGCCGAAGACAGAGAAUGCAGCAGCUAAGUUGGCGUUCUCUGCUGGUUUGGGCUCAGGAGACGUUGGACCCUACAAUGGCGAAUUGUCAUGGAAGUUCAGCAGAGUCCUCAUCAACGUCGGCAAGGCUUACCACCCUUUUGCAGGCACAGUUCUAGUUACAUCUGUCUUGCUAUCCAGUCUACCAGGGUUGGGAGUCAGUUCCAAUUCGACUUAGUCAAUUUGGAAAGUAAAUAGAAAUUCCAAUACAGUUUACUUCCUGAAUUGACCGAAUUGAAAUGGAAUUGAGCCCAACCCUGUGGUCUACACAGUAUGUCACAUAUCCCUUUGUUACUCGAAAGAAAGACAGAAUUGAUGUCUCUUCCUGUUUCUCCUGUGCAGGUGCGUUCACAGCACCAGUGCGAGGCGUCUACUACUUCAGAUUCACUGUCAAGAAUGACAGUGAUAAUGUUUACUAUGGAGCACACCUGCUAAAGAACGGCAAGAGUAUAAUGUUGAACAGUGAAUGGAAUGAUCAUCUAGAUCAUAGUUAUUUACCGUAGAGCUGGAGGAUAGAGAUGUAGUGCACAUGAAUCUCCCAGAAGGCUACGUACUGUACGAUAGCGUAGACAACCACGGUAUCUUCAGUGACUUCCUGCUCUUCACCAUGUGAGGGCAACUGGAAGGCUGCAUCUCAAUAGUCUAAAGGGGCUUCCUGUACUCGUCCCCUUUCCUCCACCUGUGUUGAUACGUAAGAGCUGGACUGGUGAAAGCAGAUGGCCGGCAUAGUGCGUUGACCUAUCUUGUGGUUUCAGAGCAGUGAUGAUAUAGGAGAGGGAACCAUUUUAAACCUUUGAGAUU